AUACGUAGGGUGCGAGCGUUGUCCGGAAUGAUUGGGCGUAAAGGGCGCGUAGGCGGCCCGGUAAGUCUGGAGUGAAAGUCCUGUUUUUAAGAUGGGAAUUGCUUUGGAUACUGUCGGGCUUGAGUGCAGGAGAGGUAAGUGGAAUUCCCAGUGUAGCGGUGAAAUGCGUAGAGAUUGGGAGGAACACCAGUGGCGAAGGCGACUUACUGGACUGUAACUGACGCUGAGGCGCGAAAGUGUGGGGAGCAAACAGGAUUAGAUACCCUGGUAGUCCACACUGUAAACGAUGAUUACUAGGUGUGGGGGGACUGACCCCUUCCGUGCCGCAGUUAACACAAUAAGUAAUCCACCUGGGGAGUACGGCCGCAAGGUUGAAACUCAAAGGAAUUGACGGGG
rnacentral:rRNA from 1 species